rnacentral:rRNA from 1 species
UGCGUAGGCGGUGCUCUAAGUCUGUUGUGAAAUCUCCCGGCUCAACUGGGAGGGUGCGGCGGAAACUGGAGUGCUCGAGUGCGGUAGAGGUAAGCGGAAUUCCUGGUGUAGCGGUGAAAUGCGUAGAUAUCAGGAGGAACACCUGUGGUGUAGACAGCUUACUGGACCGCGACUGACGCUGAGGCACGAAAGCGUGGGUAGCAAACA